AUGAUAGUGGUCUCUGGUGAAGAAGAAAGAGGUAAUAAUUGGGAGAAGUCAUGUAGGAAUAUGUGGGGUGCUGAUGAGGCCCUGGAUGUUGGUCAUGAAUUUGUGUGCAAUGUUUAUUGGGUGGCUAUUCACUGGCUCAAUGGGGAUAUAGAAAUGAGCAAGGAAAAUGAGACUAGCUUUCUUAAUAGAGCUUACUUUAAAGGGGGUUCAAAGCAAAGAGAGAGAGACAGAAAGGAAAUGGGAAGUGAGAAAGCAAACAAAGAUCCUAAGGCACUCCCACUUAUAGUAGGAGCUCAGCUGAUCCACUUGGACAAGUUAGGGGAGAAAGUAGGUGAUAGCAGCAAGCCGAUUAGUCAAGCUCUGAAUUCUACCAGGGAAACUCCUCCCAAAAGCAAGCUUGCUGAAGGGGAAGCAGAAAAUCCAGAACCAGACAUAAGUUCAGAGGAAUCUGUCUCAACUGUAGAAGAACAAGAGAAUGAAACCCCACCUGCUAAAUCUAGUGAGGCAGAGAAGCCAAAGGGAGAACCUGAGAAUGAAGAGAAGGAAGAAAGCAAACCUUCUGAGGAAACCAAAAAGAAUGAGAAAGAUCAUUCUAAAGAAAAGGAGAAGAAAGUGAAAAAAAUAAUGCUUUUCUGGGCUACCCUUUAUGCCAGCCAGCUAGCCAGAGCCCAGAAACAAACACCAAUAGCUUCUUCCCCACAUCCCAAGAUAGAUGCAAUCCUGAGAUCAUUAAGCAUGCUUCCAGAAGAGUGGUGCAUCAGUGGUUGCUAUUCAAAAAUACAUCAUACCUAAGUAUCCUUCUUUGGAGCUGGAGAGAAGGGGCUAUCUCCUUAAACAAGCAUUGAAAAGAGAAUUAAACAGAGGAGUCAUCAAACAGGUAAAAGGAAGAGGUGCCUCUGGAAGUUUUGUUGUGGUUCAGAAAACAAGAAAAACACCUUAGAAAUCCAGAAACAGAAAGAAGAGGAGCGCUGUAGUGGAUCCAGAAAUACAAGUAAAAUUGGAGGAUGUGUUCCCACUACCCUUUACUCGCCUCUGUGAACCUAAAGAAGCGUCUUACAGUCUCAUCAGGAAAUACGUUCUCAGUAGUAUCCUAAGCUUAGAGUGGACAUCAGGCCUCAACUGGUGAAGAAUGCUCCGCAGAGAGCAGUAGAGAGAGGCCAGUUAGAACAGAUAACUGGCAAAGGUGCUUCGGGGACAUUCCAGCUGAAGAAAUCACGGAGAAACCCCUGCUUGGUGAAAGCCUGAUGGAAUAUGCAAUCUUGUCUGCCAUUGCUGACAUGAAUGAGCUGAAGACCUGCUCUACCACUGCUCUGAAGAAAUAUGUCCUGGAGAACCACCCAGAGACCAAAUCUAACUAUCAAAUGCAUUUGCUGAAUAAAACCCUGCAGAAGUGCGAAAAGAACGGGUGGAUGGAACAGAUUUCUGGGAAAGGGUUCAGGGGCAUCUUCCAGCUCUGUUUUCCCUAUUACCCAAACCCAGGAGUUCUAUUUCCAAAGAAAAAGCCAGACAAUUUUAAAGAUGAGGAUGAAGAUGAAGAUGAGUUGUCAGAAGAAGAUUCUGAGGAUGAUGAGCCACCACCUAAGAGAAGGUUACAGAAGAAAACCCCAGCCAAGUCCCCAGGAAAGGCUGCAUCUGUGAAGAGAGGUUCCAAGCCUGCAUCUAAAAUCCCAGCUGCCCAGCGGGGAAAAGCUAGGCCCCUGCCCAAGAAAGCCCCUCCUAAGGCCAAAACUCCUGCGAAGAAUGCCAGACCCUCACCCUCACUCAUCAAGAAACCAGGUGGUAGCUCUUCAAAGAAGUCUGCAGCCAGUGUAAGAAAGGAAGUGAAAUUGCCUGGCAAGGGCAAAUCUACCAUGAAGAAGAUUUCAAAGCAAAAAACCUGGCGGGAAUACAGAAGGAGUGAGCCACUGGCCUGUAGGUCUUUACAAGUUGAAGGAGCCAGGAAGGAGUCCCCAAGUCCUCUGGUUCCCAACCCAGCUUCCAUGAUUCUUGAAGCCAGUGGCAAUGCAUUCCUGCUACACUCCGGCUCCAGUGACCUGCACUCAUCAGUACUCCAGACAAAAGUCACCACCUUGGACAAUGGAAGCACUGCCCUGACAGUGGUGGUGACUCCACAGUCAUCCACUAGGCUAAGAUUGACCUGCCACUGGAUCCCCACUAAAUAG